UAAAUAUUCGCAAAUUCUCAAAGUGCCGAUAUUCGCGAUUAAUAUUCGCUAUUCGAAUAUUCCCACCCAACACUACAGGUGAGUAGUAACCAAAGUAAAGUAGAGAAGACUCACAGACUCUACUCAUUCACUGGAUAUAAUAUUAUGGUCAUUUUUUAGGCUUUAUUUUAAGCAAAAAUUAAAACAGAAGUAUGUAAAUGAUACUGACUACUGAGGGAUCAUUCUAACCACUUGCAGUGACCUACCCACGGAUGCCAUUUGGUUUCUGUAAUUUACCUGCUGUUUUUCCAUGACCCAGAGGUAAGUAGUGAAUUUCUGAGACUGGCCAGAUUCUGUACUGCAACCCUUCGCCCUGCUUUUAUUCUGCUCUAGUUCUCUAUCAUCUGGAUUGGAUCUAUUUUUUUCUGGUGAUCGAUGUCUCUUCAGUUCCCCUACUUUCAUAGCAAACACCAAAAAUUCACUCUCUUCCAUUCGACUUCUUUUCCCAAAAAUUUUUUGCUGACUAGAAAAACUACUUCAUUGCAGUUUGUGAGCUACUGGCGAUGAAACUUGCCUUGGAGAAAUGGUGACACCUCUUAGAAUGAGCAGACUUUCCAGGGACUCUUUUGAACUCAUGUGAAUCUCGAACAGUCCAGUCUACUCGAAGGCUAAAUCCAUGGAAUGAAAGCUGGACCGUCUUCCUCUCACAUAUUGUCCGGCAGAGAAGAAUCAGAGUUUUCUUUCCUAAGGCUGCUGCAUAUCUCUGAGUAUAACCACAUCCUGGCCAAUACAGAAAUUCCCCUGAGGUUCUGGAUACUGGUGGAUUAUUUCUGAAAAAUUAGCCAGUUUGUCCUGAUAUCUGCAUUACUUUCUGAUCCUUCGGUAUCUCAAACCUUUCUUAAGGAGAUUUUCCAGCUCCACGUUCUCCCUGCAAAAGUCUUGGAUCGAGGAGUGCAAUUUGUCUCCCAAGUUCUGGAAAGCAUAAUGUAAAUCCUUGCAUAAUGCCCUACAUUUUCCUUCUGGUUACUAUGUACAGAGCAACAGUCAGACAAAGAGAAUCAGCCAGGUUCCUACAAUAUAGGAUCCGCUCAGUGGAUAUCUUUUAUAUACAGUAAGAUUGACCAGUCAAGAAUGGAUAGGAACAGGGACAAGAUGGCGGAGAGGAUAAUCAAUCUCACCCUAGAGAUCCUCUUCCGGCUUAUUGGAGAGGACUACACACUAGUGAAGAAGACCUCUAGUGAGCGCUGUCAGGACCCUGUGUCUGAAGG